GGUUUCCCGGCUGGGCACUUGAAGGCCACACAGACCCGCUUCGUUCCGGCAACGACAGAAUGGCCUGGAGUAAAAUAUUGGGAACCAGAGUGCAUUCGGACACAGGAAACUGGAUCGGAGGACAACAGCUAUGGCGGGAUGGCCGUUGCUGAAGUACCGCAUACA